rnacentral:lncRNA from 1 species
UAAAGGUCCUUUUCUACUAGAUCUCCACAUUUUUGGCUUUGAACCCAAGGGCAAAAAAAAUAUUAAUUGGGAUUGUCCCCAUGGGUCAACUACUACAAUCAUGCAUAUAAAUACAAAUACAAUAUAACUACUGCCUACCUCCUACUAUUACUUAACCAUCCAUUCUUAAAUGCAUACAAAACGGACACAAACUACUAAUCUCAGAUAUGUAUAGAUCAUCAUUGUCUCUUUGUCAUUCUAGAUGAAAUUCUGAGCUACUGGGACUAAGAAGUUAUUAACAAUUCAAC